AGGGUUUGAUUCUGGCUCAGGACGAACGCUGGCGGUGCGCCUUAUGCAUGCAAGUCGAGCGAAGCUUUUCAGUAGUUUACUACAGAAAAUGACUGAGCGGCGAACGGGUGAGUAACGCGUGAGCAAUCUACCUUAGUUACAGGGAUAGCCCGAGGAAACUCGGAUUAAUACCUGAUAUUCUUUAUUUCUCGCAUGAGAAUAAAAGGAAAGGUCAGCCGAACUAAGAUGAGCUCGCGUUCUAUCAGCUAGUUGGUGAGGUAAAAGCUUACCAAGGCUACGACGGAUAGCUGGUCUGAGAGGACGAUCAGCCACACUGGGACUGAGACACGGCCCAGACUCCUACGGGAGGCUGCAGCAGGGAAUAUUGUGCAAUGAACGAAAGUUUGACACAGCGACACCGCGUGUGGGAUGACGGAUCUAGGUUUGUAAACCACUUUCAGGAGGGAAGAAAAUGACGGUACCUCCACAAGAAGCCCCGGCCAACUACGUACCAGCCGCCGCGGUAAUAC
rnacentral:rRNA from 1 species